rnacentral:rRNA from 1 species
CCAGACUCCUACGGGAGGCAGCAGUGGGGAAUAUUGCACAAUGGGGGGAACCCUGAUGCAGCGACGCCGCGUGGGUGAAGAAGCACCUCGGUGCGUAAAGCCCUAUCGGCAGGGAAGAAAAGCGAACAGGUUCGCCUGGACGGUACCUGACUAAGAAGCCCCGGCUAACUACGUGCCAGCAGCCGCGGUAAUACGUAGGGGGCAAGCGUUAUCCGGAUUCACUGGGUGUAAAGGGAGCGUAGGCGGGACUGCAAGUUGGGUGUCAAAUCUACCGGCUCAACCGGUAGCCGCACUCAAAACUGCAGUUCUUGAGUGAAGUAGAGGCAGGCGGAAUUCCUAGUGUAGCGGUGAAAUGCGUAGAUAUUAGGAGGAACACCAGUGGCGAAGGCGGCCUGCUGGGCUUUUACUGACGCUGAGGCUCGAAAGUGUGGGGAGCAAACAGGAUUAGAUACCCUGGUAAC